CCUACGGGAGGCAGCAGUGAGGAAUAUUGGUCAAUGGUCGGGAGACUGAACCAGCCAAGCCGCGUGAGGGAUGAAGGUACAGAGUAUCGUAAACCUCUUUUGUCAGGGAACAAAGGCGGGGACGUGUCCCCGGAUGAGUGUACCUGAAGAAAAAGCAUCGGCUAACUCCGUGCCAGCAGCCGCGGUAAUACGGAGGAUGCGAGCGUUAUCCGGAUUUAUUGGGUUUAAAGGGUGCGCAGGCGGUCUGUUAAGUCAUCGGUAAAAGCCCGGGGCUCAACCCCGGCCCGCCGUUGAAACUGGCAGUCUCGAGUUGGAGAGAAGUAUGCGGAAUGCGCGGUGUAGCGGUGAAAUGCAUAGAUAUCGCGCAGAACUCCGAUUGCGAAGGCAGCAUGCCGGCUCCACACUGACGCUGAGGCACGAAAGCGUGGGUAUCGAACAGGAUUAGAUACCCUAGUAGUC
rnacentral:rRNA from 1 species